AUUGCAAUGCAAAGGGAGAUGUUGCAUUACGGAUCCUGCCUGGGCUGUGCUGGGCUCUAAUGAAUGCGCCGAGCCUUUGAUCUGGAUUUUUUUAAAUUCAAGUUGUAUGUGGGUUUAACAAAAGCAGCCAUGUUGAGGUUGUUUGUGACAAAGCAUCAGCGAUGUCCUGUGCCGAACAUGAUUCACGUAAGGCGCAGACAGCGGAUACUGAGUUUGAAAGGGGGCUAAUCAACAGUCUUUGGAAUAAAGAAGUAUCUUAACUCAAAAAUGUUGAUGCAUGAAUGAACGUAAUUCUCUGUGCACAGAGUUACUGUUUAGGGGACACAUCUACUGUAGCAACCCCAGUGAAUCAGUUCGGUGCCAUUCACAAGUAAAUUAAGUUGUAAAAUCUCACCGUAUGCGUAUGUGUGUGUCUAAAUA